UACGGGGGGGCAAGCGUUGUUCGGAAUUACUGGGCGUAAAGGGCUCGUAGGCGGCCAACUAAGUCGGAUGUGAAAUCCCCAGGCUCAACUUGGGAAUGCAUCCGAUACUGGAUGGCUUGAAUUCGGGAGAGGGAUGCAGAAUUCCAGGUGUAGCGGUGAAAUGCGUAGAUAUCUGGAGGAAUACCGGUGGCGAAGGCGGCAUCCUGGACCGACAUUGACGCUGAGUGCGCGAAAGCCAGGGGAGCAAACGGG
rnacentral:rRNA from 1 species